rnacentral:rRNA from 1 species
GACGAACGCUGGCGGCGUGCCUAAUACAUGCAAGUCGAGCGAGCUUGCCUAGAUGAAUUUGGUGCUUGCACCAAAUGAAACUAGAUACAAGCGAGCGGCGGACGGGUGAGUAACACGUGGGUAACCUGCCCAAGAGACUGGGAUAACACCUGGAAACAGAUGCUAAUACCGGAUAACAACACUAGACGCAUGUCUAGAGUUUAAAAGAUGGUUCUGCUAUCACUCUUGGAUGGACCUGCGGUGCAUUAGCUAGUUGGUAAGGUGACGGCUUACCAAGGCAAUGAUGCAUAGCCGAGUUGAGAGACUGAUCGGCCACAUUGGGACUGAGACACGGCCCAAACUCCUACGGGAGGCAGCAGUAGGGAAUCUUCCACAAUGGACGCAAGUCUGAUGGAGCAACGCCGCGUGAGUGAAGAAGGGUUUCGGCUCGUAAAGCUCUGUUGGUAGUGAAGAAAGAUAGAGGUAGUAACUGGCCUUUAUUUGACGGUAAUUACUUAGAAAGUCACGGCUAACUACGUGCCAGCAGCCGCGGUAAUACGUAGGUGGCAAGCGUUGUCCGGAUUUAUUGGGCGUAAAACGAGUGCAGGCGGUUCAAUAAGUCUGAUGUGAAAGCCUUCGGCUCAACCGGAGAAUUGCAUCAGAAACUGUUGAACUUGAGUGCAGAAGAGGAGAGUGGAACUCCAUGUGUAGCGGUGGAAUGCGUAGAUAUAUGGAAGAACACCAGUGGCGAAGGCGGCUCUCUGGUCUGCAACUGACGCUGAGGCUCGAAAGCAUGGGUAGCGAACAGG